rnacentral:tRNA from 1 species
UGAUAAAGAAAGGAAUUAAACCUCUAUAAAUAGGACUACAGCCUACUGCC